UAAUAACAUGUAAAUAUAACAUGUGUUUUGUGAAAACAGCAGUAUUAUCUCACGGUGCCCGCAUUGUCCAAGUCUGAAAAUGCUGUCGUCUCGUGUUGUAUUCGCCCGUGUGCCCCUUCUUGCCAGGCCGAUGGCAACGGCCUCGGGGAAGAAGCCUAAAUUGCCGAAAAGAGCCCCGUCACCCUUCAAUUUGUUCGUGAAAGAUGCUAUGCAAGAGCGACCUGCGUCUAUUAUGCCUACCGAGCACAUGGCAAAAGCUGCCAGUCAGUGGAAGAUGAUGUCCGGAGUGGACAAGGCUCCGUACGAAACGGCUGCUGCGGAGGCGCGGGAGAACUUUGCAGCACUCAAAAAGGAACACGCCAAGCCCCUCGGAUUGAGGUCCGCCUAUGCUUUUUUCACCAAAGAGAACCAUUGCGAUGUUAGUUCGGAGAUGCCGAGCCGGCCAUUUGGUGACAUUGGUGCGGAGAUUGGGAAAAGGUGGAAGCUGCUCAGUGACUCCGCAAGACAGCCCUAUUUGGACAUGGAACAAGCAGACAGGGCUCGCUGGGAACGCGAGACUGCUGCCCACGCGAAGAAACAGUAGCAGGUGUGAGCCACUGUCGUUGUGAAGCAAGUGUGAGCCACGCUUUAGUGUGAGUGAGUGUCUUUGUGAAACCCAACAAACUGGCCCUGCACAAUGCUGGGUGUUGGUAACAUGUAUUUUUGUUUUGUGUUUUUUUAAUCAUUACAUUCUAUUUGAGUAUAGGUUGGUGGUUACUGCGGUUGAACUUUUAAAAGAGCUCUUCCAACAUUUCUUUUUACGUACCAGCAUGUCCAGCAGUUUUAGUAUGCAUGUAGCAGAUAGCCCUCUUGUGCAUUGGUGCGACUUGCUAGGGUAUGCGGCCAUGACGUCCUUUGUACUACACAUAGUAUAGUGUGUGAAUUGGGUAAUCUCUGCAAACAAUGUCAUGAGAUUUUUGGAGUCCGUCAGACAUGGCGUGGCGGCCUGACAUGCAAAACUGGACAGAAAACACCAGUACAUACGAGGA